rnacentral:tRNA from 7 species
GCGCCUGUAGCUCAGCUGGAUAGAGCAGCGGACUUCUAAUCCGCAGGCCCCGUGUUCGAAUCACGGCAGGCGCGCCA